UGGGGAAUCUUGCACAAUGGGGGAAACCCUGAUGCAGCGACGCCGCGUGAGCGAUGAAGCCCUUCGGGGUGUAAAGCUCUUUCGGCAGGGAAGAUUAUGACGGUACCUGCAGAAGCAGCUGCGGCUAACUACGUGCCAGCAGCCGCGGUAAUACGUAGGCAGCAAGCGUUGUUCGGAGUUACUGGGCGUAAAGGGUGUGUAGGCGGUUGCUUAAGUUUGGUGUGAAAUCUCCCGGCUCAACCGGGAGGGUGCGCCGAAUACUGAGUGACUAGAGUGUGGGAGAGGAAAGUGGAAUUCCUGGUGUAGCGGUGAAAUGCGUAGAUAUCAGGAGGAACACCGGUGGUGUAGACGGCUUUCUGGACCAUAACUGACGCUGAGACACGAAAGCGUGGGUAGCAAACAGGAUUAGAUACCCCUGUAGUCC
rnacentral:rRNA from 1 species